GAGGUUACCAGGCAAAUUGAAGACAUGUGUCCCUGUCCCUGUGAGCUGACUGUGAGAGGCUGGGUGCUCACUUCUCCACGGCCAGUGCUGGGCUCACAUUUGGAGACUGGCAUUCUCAAGCCUAAAUCAGACCUCAGAAAGGGAAAGUAUUUACUUCUUUUCUGUGGACUGUUGGAUACAUAGAUAAUCAAUCAUUCUUUAGUAAACAUUGUAUGAGUACAAAAACACACAGAGGCACGCAGACAGACAGAAACACACACAUUCCACAGGGCCAGCCAAAUUUAAAAGAUUAGCCUCUCUGAUCCUCACUCACCCUGGAAAAAGGAGGAUUUCACCUGAGCCUCCACAUUCUAUGCCUGUUAGGGUCAUAGCUGGAGCAAAGGACAUUAAGCAUUGCUAGAGGUAAAAGGAGCUGGAGAAAAGAGGAUUUUCCAGAGCUUCUCUCCCAGAAAGAAAGAAGCAUGUUGGUUGAACUACUUUGAUGAGCAAGUGGGGAUGAGUGAUGGAGUUUUUUGCUCUUGUCACCCAGGCUGGAGUGCAAUGGCAUGAUCUCGGCUCACUGCAACCUCCGCCUCCCAGGUUCAAGUGAUUCUCCUGCCUCAGCCUCCCGAGUAGCUGCAACUACAGAGUCAUCCCAGGGCAUCCAGAGGCUUUCAGGGUGCCUGAAGUCUCCCACUGCACCACCUUUGGGUUAACCUAGCCUGUCCCAC